rnacentral:rRNA from 1 species
GACGAACGCUGGCGGCGUGCCUAAUACAUGCAAGUCGAGCGGACUUGAAGGAGCUUGCUCCUGAUAGUUAGCGGCGGACGGGUGAGUAACACGUGGGCAACCUGCCUGUAAGACUGGAAUAACUUCGGGAAACCGGAGCUAAUACCGGAUAGGUUCUUCUCUCGCAUGAGAGAAGAUGGAAAGACGGUUUCGGCUGUCCCUUACAGAUGGGCCCGCGGCGCAUUAGCUAGUUGGUGGGGUAAUGGCCUACCAAGGCAACGAUGCGUAGCCGACCUGAGAGGGUGAUCGGCCACACUGGGACUGAGACACGGCCCAGACUCCUACGGGAGGCAGCAGUAGGGAAUCUUCCGCAAUGGACGAAAGUCUGACGGAGCAACGCCGCGUGAGUGAAGAAGGUUUUCGGAUCGUAAAACUCUGUUGUCAGGGAAGAACAAGUACCAUAGUAACUGAUGGCACCUUGACGGUACCUGACCAGAAAGCCACGGCUAACUACGUGCCAGCCGCCGCGGUAA